GUGACUGACAAUUAUCAAACUCUGGUCGCAAUGAUCUUCUUGAAGAUUCAAACUAUGCUCGUUUGAUAGUUCAUUGGUCUUGGGAUUCAUAUUAUCAUAUGAUCCCACACUACAAGAAAAAUGGGAUACAGAGGCGGUAUCUUGAUGGCUAUUUUAAAAACGGACCCUAAAUCAAGUGAUUAACAGCUACCCUGAGCUACUUAAAGUCUUUCUCUCUCUCUCUUACCUUUUUGGCAACAAACACAAAUUAUUUUUUUUUCUCUUUCUCGGCCUGGUGUUUCUAGAAAGCCUAGAAUCCUUUGGGAAGUGAAGUCUAUUUCUGAAUGGUCACUCUUUAUUUAUCUUCUUCACCUCUUUCGCCGAACCCUAACCCUAAUCCUACUUUCAAAUCUUUAGGUUUAGAAGUAAAACUUCAAUUUCUUCCCCAAUCUCAAACUAAAACCCCUUCACCGGAAUCUCCCUCGUCGCUCCUCCGAACCUCAUUCAACCAAAACCAUGCCUGCUUUGCCGCCGCCUCCGACACAGGCUUCCGCGUCUACAACUGCGACCCAUUCCGGGAGCUCUUGCCGGUGGCGGAAUCGGCCACAUCGAGACACUCUUCCAUAGCAACAUAAUGGCAUUCGUCGGUGGCGGAUCUUUCCCUCAGUUCACACCAGGGUAGGUGCUUCGGUUCUCAUUCUGGACCACCAUUUGCGGUGUUCGUCUCCCGGACCAGAUCGUCUAGGCUUUAAUAUUCAUGGGCCGAAUAUUCAACCCAUUACAUUCGUAACACUUUCCGGAGCGCAUCCUUAGCCUCUGUCUUCAUCCCUUUCCAUUUGUAACAAUUUCCCAUUAAACACAGCACCUCCGUGUUACUAUUCUUCCCUCCACUCAGUCCCACCGCCUUCACCAGGUCUUCCACCGCAGAGUCGACUCGCCGCCGCAUGUUCACGGAGAGGGAAUUCGCGGCUGGCGAGGAGAGGGCAGUUUCAAGUGACCUUAAAGCGGUGACACGGUGGUUCAUAAGGUGGAGGGCUCGUGCUCGGAGGAUAUGGGCGGAGGGGUCCCUGGGCGAGAUGGAAAAGGCUCGAUCUGCUUCGAUGAGCGCGUUUCUGGCGUGUUGGGCUCGGUGCGAGGUGGAUCUGGCUCGAGCCAGGUGGCGCGAUGCUUGAACCAAGUAGCGGUUCGGUUCGGGGAUGUUUCUCAGGCAUUAUGAUCCUCCCGAUGGUUUGACGUUUGAGAUAAAUGAUGUUUCCCCUCCUAUUCAGGGCUGUCUCUUGGGUAUCGUGAAUUGGGCCUCCUUUGUUAGAAGAAGAUAAGUAUAUGUGUAGACAUCGAAUGAAUGUGAACGAACCUUAUGGUUUAUGUGAUUGUGAUAGUGAGGAAUAUGGGCAGAUGCAAUGUGUGUGCAUAUCUUAACGACUUCACAUGUUAGGCUCCUCAAUUUAUGCUUAAUUUGUAGUUGGUUUAAUUUUUUAUUUUGAUGCUUUUAAGAAUGUGAAACUAUAUUGAAUUCUUUCUGAGAUAUGCUCAAAUAAAUGGUUAUUUUCCAUGACAACUCAUACUUCUUGAUACCAUCUAGUAUAUUUGUGGCAUUUGUUAUCAGGCAAACCAUCUUUUACUAAGAAACAAACAGAUCUGUUCUUCCCUUCGGACUUUGCUGAUGACUUUCCUGUAUCAAUGCAGAUUUCAAAUAAAUAUGGAUUGAUAUAUGUUAUCACGAAGUAGGGGGUUGUUAUGCCAUCAAUAGACGUGGCCAGGUGUUUGCUUGAUACUGUAAAUGAGGCAGCCAUUGUACGUUUUGUUAGCGGCCAGCCAAACAAUUUAGAACUUGCUGUUAAUCUUGCUAAAAGAGGAAACCUCCCCGGUGCAGAGGAAUUGGUAACAUGAUGAGUUGCUUUUGGUUAAUUUUGUGUUGUUAUCAAUGUCAAACUUCACAAAUGAACUUUCGAAACUGGCUGACUUUAUUGAGUUGGAUGAUUCUUUUACUAUUAUAUUUUUCAAUUUUUGGUGUAUGCUGCUGUUUGCCUCAAAAGUGACUUAAAUUCGCUUAAUUAAGCCUUUUAUUUAAUUAAAUCUCAUCAGUUUUCUCUUGAGAAAUUAGUCAAUGAGAACAUGGAAAGUUCUUUUCAAAAUCACGGUAAGUUCUCAUCCUGUGUUUGUCUCUUUCUGUUUUUGGCUUGUUGCCAUGUAUUCUCUCUAAACUAUAUAUGUUGGGGUAAUUAUUUAAUUCAACUACGCAGAUUGGAAUCUGAUUAAUACUCACAGCAGCAACGAAAUUCCCAAGGUUGCAAAUUUUCUUGGUGUGAGAAAGUUUGAAAAUCAGUCAGAUCUUGCAGCCUUUAAUGAAAUUCAGUCAAAUGAUUUAGAUCAUUACAUGUUCACGAACAAUAGUCUCGUGCCAAUGCAAAACUUGGUGGUACCCGCUUCAAGCAAUUAUGAGUAUCAAGAAAAUGCUAACAAUAAUCUGCAGUCAUUGACAUUGUCCAUGGGAAGUGGUAAGGGUUCAACAUGCGAAACCACCAGUGGUGAUAAUAGUACAAACAGUACUACUGUUGAAGCUGCACCUAAAAGAGCAUUGGAUACCUUUGGGCAGAGAACAUCAAUAUAUCGCGGUGUGACUAGACAUAGAUGGACUGGAAGGUAUGAAGCUCACCUAUGGGAUAAUAGCUGUAGAAGGGAAGGACAAUCAAGAAAAGGUCGACAAGGUGGGUAUGACAAGGAAGACAAAGCAGCGAGAUCUUAUGAUUUAACUAGUAUAAGAUAUAUAUUUUUGAACGUAAUACUUUGCAGCUCAUAUAGUUCAAUUUUCUAACUGUUUUUGAGGUAUAUAUUUAAAAUUUUCUAACUGCUUGGUUAUGUUUGCCAUUUUUAGAAGUUAAUGGUUUUAUAUGGGGGUAUGAAUUGUCAACUUCGGUUUCUGAUUAUAACUAUCUAGUUGUUUAAAUUUUCUUUCCUCUAGCAGCCGGACUGGGUUUUAUAUUGUGAAAACUGGACUCAG